CACUGAAAGUUGUUAAGUAUUGGUGAA
rnacentral:piRNA from 1 species